rnacentral:rRNA from 1 species
CAACUUUUGACAACGGAUCUCUUGGCUCUCGCAACGAUGAAGAACGCAGCGAAAUGCGAUACGUAAUGUGAAUUGCUUUCCGUGAAUCAUCGAAUCUUUGAACGCACAUUGCACUCCUCUGGAGUAUGCCUGUUUGAGAAUCUAUA